rnacentral:rRNA from 1 species
UACGAAGGGGGCUAGCGUUGUUCGGAAUUACUGGGCGUAAAGGGCGCGUAGGCUGUGCUGUAAGUCAGGCGUGAAAGGCCCGGGCUCAACCUGGGAAUGGCGCAUGAUACUGCGGCGCUGGAAGGCGGGAGAGGAUGGCGGAAUUCCCAGUGUAGAGGUGAAAUUCGUAGAUAUUGGGAAGAACACCCGUGGCGAAGGCAGCCAUCUGGCCCUCAAUUGACGCUGAGGCGCGAAAUCGUGGGGAGCAAACAGG